UUGAAACACCGGUUUCCAUACGAUCACCGAAGUUAAGCAAAAUCGAGCCUGGUUAGUACUUAGAUGGGUAACCGCUUGGGAAUACUAAAUGUUGGA